UACGUAGGUGGCAAGCGUUGUCCGGAUUUACUGGGCGUAAAGAGCGCGCAGGCGGUCGUUCAAGUCGCGUGUGAAAGCCCCCGGCUCAACUGGGGAGGGUCACGCGAUACUGAUCGACUCGAAGGCAGGAGAGGGUAGUGGAAUUCCCGGUGUAGUGGUGAAAUGCGUAGAUAUCGGGAGGAACACCAGUGGCGAAGGCGACUACCUGGCCUGUUCUUGACGCUGAGGCGCGAAAGCUA
rnacentral:rRNA from 1 species